ACGAUACGUAGCCGACCUGAGAGGGUGAUCGGCCACACUGGAACUGAGACACGGUCCAGACUCCUACGGGAGGCAGCAGUAGGGAAUCUUCCGCAAUGGGCGAAAGCCUGACGGAGCAACGCCGCGUGAGUGAUGAAGGUCUUCGGAUCGUAAAGCUCUGUUGUUAGGGAAGAACAAAUGUGUAAGUAACUAUGCACAUCUUGACGGUACCUAACCAGAAAGCCACGGCUAACUACGUGCCAGCAGCCGCGGUAAUACGUAGGUGGCAAGCGUUAUCCGGAAUUAUUGGGCGUAAAGCGCGCGUAGGCGGUUUUUUAAGUCUGAUGUGAAAGCCCACGGCUCAACCGUGGAGGGUCAUUGGAAACUGGAAAACUUGAGUGCAGAAGAGGAAAGUGGAAUUCCAUGUGUAGCGGUGAAAUGCGCAGAGAUAUGGAGGAACACCAGUGGCGAAGGCGGCUUUCUGGUCUGUAACUGACGCUGAUGUGCGAAAGCGUGGGGAUCAAACAGGAUUAGAUACCCUGGUAGUCCACGCCGUAAACGAUGAGUGCUAAGUGUUAGGGGGUUUCCGCCCCUUAGUGCUGCAGCUAACGCAUUAAGCACUCCGCCUGGGGAGUACGGUCGCAAGACUGAAACUCAAAGGAAUUGACGGGGACCCGCACAAGCGGUGGAGCAUGUGGUUUAAUUCGAAGCAACGCGAAGAACCUUACCAAAUCUUGACAUCUUUUGACCACUCUAGAGAUAGAGUUUUCCUCUUCGGAGGACAAAAUGACAGGUGGUGCAUGGUUGUCGUCAGCUCGUGUCGUGAGAUGUUGGGUUAAGUCCCGCAACGAGCGCAACCCUUGAGCUUAGUUGCCAUCAUUAAGUUGGGCACUCUAAGUUGACUGCCGGUGACAAACCGGAGGAAGGUGGGGAUGACGUCAAAUCAUCAUGCCCCUUAUGAUUUGGGCUACACACGUGCUACAAUGGACAAUACAAAGGGCAGCAAAACCGCGAGGUCAAGCAAAUCCCAUAAAGUUGUUCUCAGUUCGGAUUGUAGUCUGCAACUCGACUACAUGAAGCUGGAAUCGCUAGUAAUCGUAGAUCAGCAUGCUACGGUGAAUACGUUCCCGGGUCUUGUACACACCGCCCGUCACACCACGAGAGUUUGUAACACCCGAAGCCGGUGGAGUAACCAUUUGGAGCUAGCCGUCGAAGGUGGGACAAAUGAUUGGGGUGAAGUCGUAACAAGGUAGCCGUAUCGGAAGGUGCGGCUGGAUCACCUCCUUU
rnacentral:rRNA from 1 species